rnacentral:tRNA from 1 species
GUUUUUCUAGUUUAAUAAACACUUAUUUUGUAAUUAAGAAAUACAGGUUAAAAUCCUGCGAAAAAUU